rnacentral:rRNA from 1 species
GGGAGACAGGUGGUGCGAUGGUUGUCGUCAGCUCGUGUCGUGAGAUGUGGGUUAAGUCCGCAACGAGCGCAACCCCUACGUUUAGUUGCUAACGCGUGAAGGCGAGCACUCUAGGCGAACUGCCGUUGACAAAACGGAGGAAGGUGGGGAUGACGUCAAAUCAUCAUGCCCCUUAUGUUCUGGGCUACACACGUGCUACAAUGGCCGGUACAGACGGACGCAAAGCCGCGAGGUGGAGCAAAUCCUAAAAAGCCGGUCUCAGUUCGGAUUGCAGGCUGCAAUUCGCCUGCAUGAAGCCGGAAUCGCUAGUAAUCGCAGGUCAGCAUACUGCGGUCGAAUACGUUCCGGGCCUU